rnacentral:rRNA from 1 species
AUUGAACGCUGGCGGCAGGCUUAACACAUGCAAGUCGAGCGAGCGGCGGACGGGUGAGAAAUGUCUGGGAAACUGCCUGAUGGAGGGGGAUAACUACUGGAAACGGUAGCUAAUACCGCAUACCAUCAGAUGUGCCCAGAUGGGAUUAGCUAGUAGGUGGGGUAAUGGCUAACAAAGGCGACGAUCCCUAGCUGGUCUGAGAGGAUGACCGGCCACACUGGAACGGAGACACGGUCCAGACUCCUACGGGAGGCAGCAGUGGGGAAUAUUUCAAAAUGGGCGAAAGCCUGAUGGAGCCACGCCGCGUGAGUGAAGAAGGCCUUCGGGUUGUAAAGCACUUUUAGCGGGGAGGCGUUACCCACACAGGAAGCACCGGCUAACUACGUGCCAGCAGCCGCGGUAAUUC